GAGUUUGAUUAUGGCUCAGGAUGAACGCUAGCUACAGGCUUAACAACAUGCAAGUCGAGGGGCAGCAGGAUCUUAGCUUGCUAAGAUUGCUGGCGACCGGCGCACGGGUGAGUAACGCGUAUCCAACCUUCCCCCUUAGUAGGGCAUAGCCCGAUGAAAAUCGGAUUAAUACCCUAUGUUUUUCCAAUGAGGACAUCUGAGCUGGAAACAAAGAUUCAUCGCUAAGGGAUGGGGAUGCGUCCGAUUAGGUAGUCGGCGGGGUAACGGCCCACCGAGCCAUCGAUCGGUAGGGGUUCUGAGAGGAAGGUCCCCCACAUUGGAACUGAGACACGGUCCAAAACUCCUACGGGAGGCAGCAGUGAGGAAUAUUGGUCAAUGGGCGAGAGCCUGAACCAGCCAAGUAAGCGUGCAGGAUGACGGCCCUAUGGGUUGUAAACUGCUUUUAUGCGGGGAUAAAGUUCGCCACGUGUGGCGUUUUGUAGGUACCGCAUGAAUAAGGACCGGUUAAUUCCGUGCCAGCCGCCGC
rnacentral:rRNA from 1 species